rnacentral:rRNA from 1 species
UGGAACACGGGCCUCGACUGUUUACCAAAAACAUAGCCCUCGGCCAAUAUGAAAAUAGAUGUAUAGAGGGUGAUGCCUGCCCAAUGGUUGUAUCUAAAAGCAGUUGAUAAAAGUCGACCUCGUAAGGACAAUUGAAUGGCCGCGGUAACACUGACCGUGAUAAUGUAGCGUAAUCAAUAGCCAAUUAAUUGUUGGCCAGUAUGAAUGGCGCCACGAAGGCCCCACUGUCUUAAGGAAAUUCCCAGUGAAAUUGAAUUCGUAGUGAAGAUGCUACGUCCAAUUUGUUAGACGAAAAGACCCCGUUGAGCUUUACUGGGGCACUUACACGGCCCUCGGCCUUCCCGUGCCCGGGAACCGGCCGAAUUUAAAUGGGUGGUUUAGACUAUGUGGCAGCCCCCCGCCGGGGCAGAUGAAACCCCACUCCCCCAUGUCAAAGGGGCUAACCCCCCCCUUGGGGGGGACAGUGUAAGUAGGACAGUUUGGUUGGGGCGACCGCCUUUUAAAGAGUAACGAAGGUGCGCUUAAGGUGCGCAAUUAAUGACUGAAGCCUGACUGCGAGGGGGAUACCCCGAGCAGACACCCCCCAAGCCCGCCCGAGGGCGGCGGUGGGGUGGGCCAUAGUGACCCGUUAAUUUAGAGUGGAAUAGUUAACGAUCAACGAAUAAAAG